rnacentral:rRNA from 1 species
UACAGAGGUCCCGAGCGUUUGUUCGGAUUCACUGGGCGUAAAGGGUGCGUAGGUGGCAUAGAAAGUUUGAUGUGAAAGCUCAGGGCUUAACCCUGAAAUGGCAUUGAAUACUGCUGUGCUGGAGGUUUGGAGGGGGGACUGGAAUUCUUGGUGUAGCAGUGAAAUGCGUAGAUAUCAAGAGGAACACCAGUGGCGAAGGCGAGUCCCUGGACAACACCUGACACUGAGGCACGAAAGCUAGGGGGAGCAAACAGG